rnacentral:rRNA from 1 species
GCCAGGCGCGUGCUUACCAUGCAGUCGACGAUGAGCCCUUCGGGGUGGAUUAGUGGCGAACGGGUGAGUAACACGUGGGCAAUCUGCCCUUCACUCUGGGACAAGCCCUGGAAACGGGGUCUAAUACCGGAUAACACUCUGUCCUGCAUGGGACGGGGUUGAAAGCUCCGGCGGUGAAGGAUGAGCCCGCGGCCUAUCAGCUUGUUGGUGGGGUAAUGGCCUACCAAGGCGACGACGGGUAGCCGGCCUGAGAGGGCGACCGGCCACACUGGGACUGAGACACGGCCCAGACUCCUACGGGAGGCAGCAGUGGGGAAUAUUGCACAAUGGGCGAAAGCCUGAUGCAGCGACGCCGCGUGAGGGAUGACGGCCUUCGGGUUGUAAACCUCUUUCAGCAGGGAAGAAGCGCAAGUGACGGUACCUGCAGAAGAAGCGCCGGCUAACUACGUGCCAGCAGCCGCGGUAAUACGUAGGGCGCAAGCGUUGUCCGGAAUUAUUGGGCGUAAAGAGCUCGUAGGCGGCUUGUCACGUCGGAUGUGAAAGCCCGGGGCUUAACCCCGGGUCUGCAUUCGAUACGGGCUAGCUAGAGUGUGGUAGGGGAGAUCGGAAUUCCUGGUGUAGCGGUGAAAUGCGCAGAUAUCAUGAGGAACACCGGUGGCGAAGGCGGAUCUCUGGGCCAUUACUGACGCUGAGGAGCGAAAGCGUGGGGAGCGAACAGGAUUAGAUACCCUGGUAGUCCACGCCGUAAACGUUGGGAACUACGUGUUGGCGACAUUCCACGUCGUCGUGCCGCAGCUAACGCAUUAAGUUCCCCGCCUGGGGAGUACGGCCGCAAGGCUAAAACUCAAAGGAAUUGACGGGGCCCGCACAAGCAGCGGAGCAUGUGGCUUAAUUCGACGCAACGCGAAGAACUUACCAAGGCUUGACAUAAUACCGAAAGCAUCAGAGAUGGUGCCCCCUUGUGUCGUAUACAGGUGGUGCAUGCUGUCGUCAGCUCGUGUCUGGAAUGUUGGGUAAGUCCCGCACAGCGCCAACCCUGG